CCUACGGGUGGCAGCAGUGGGGAAUAUUGCACAAUGGGGGAAACCCUGAUGCAGCGACGCCGCGUGAGUGAAGAAGUACUUCGUUACGUAAAGCUCUAUUAGCAGGGAAGAAAUACUGACCUCACGGUCAGCAGACGGUACCUGAGUAAGAAGCCCCGCCUAACUACGUGCCAGCAGCCGCGGUAAUAUGGAGGGGGCAAGCGCUAUCCGGGUUUAUUUGGGGUAAAGGGGGCGUAGACGGUGCGCGAAGUGUAGAGUGAAAUGCCGCGGCCGAACUGCCGAACUGCCUUUGAAACUGGCGAACUAGAGUGCGGGAGGGGGAAGCGGAAUUCCCGGUGUAGCGGUGAAAUGCGUAGAUAUUAGGAAGAACACCGAUGGCGAAGGCAGCUUACUGGACCGUGACUGACGUUGAGGCUCGAAAGCGUGGGGAGCAAACAGGAUUAGAUACCCCUGUAGUC
rnacentral:rRNA from 1 species